rnacentral:rRNA from 1 species
GAUGAACGCUAGCUACAGGCUUAACACAUGCAAGUCGAGGGGCAGCAUGAACAUAGCUUGCUAUGUUUGAUGGCGACCGGCGCACGGGUGCGUAACACGUAUCCAAUCUACCCAUGGCUCGGGGAUAGCCUUUCGAAAGAAAGAUUAAUACCCGAUGGUCUCGGUUUAAGGCCUCUUAGACUGAGUAAAGAUUUAUCGGCGAUGGAUGAGGAUGCGUCUGAUUAGGUAGAUGGCGGGGUAACGGCCCACCAUGCCUACGAUCAGUAGGGGUUCUGAGAGGAAGGUCCCCCACAUUGGAACUGAGACACGGUCCAAACUCAUACGGGAGGCAGCAGUGAGGAAUAUUGGUCAAUGGACGAGAGUCUGAACCAGCCAAGUAGCGUGAAGGAUGACUGCCCUAUGGGUUGUAAACUUCUUUUGUUUGGGAAUAAAGUUCGGGACGUGUCCCGUUUUGUAUGUACCAUUCGAAUAAGCAUCGGCUAAUUCCGUGCCAGCCGCCGCCGUAAUAC